ACUCUGCCGGUGGUACGCCCCGGCGGGUCGGCCUUACCUUUAUUGGUGGUCAGCCGGUUUCAUCCUGCUUCGGCAAACACUCUACGCGGUUCGGGCAAGCGCAGAUUACUGAAAAUGGAAAAGCGUACCCGAC
rnacentral:ncRNA from 1 species